UGGGGAAUAUUGGGCAAUGGAGGCAACUCUGACCCAGCAACGCCGCGUGAAUGAUGAAGGUCUUCGGAUUGUAAAGUUCUGUGACGGGGGACGAACACAAUGACGGUACCCCGAUAGCAAGCCACGGCUAACUACGUGCCAGCAGCCGCGGUAAUACGUAGGUGGCAAGCGUUAUCCGGAAUGACUGGGCGUAAAGGGUGCGUAGGUGGUUUAGCAAGUUGGCAGCGUAAUUCCGGGGCUCAACUCCGGCGCUACUGCCAAAACUGUUGAACUUGAGUGCAGGAGGGGUAAGUGGAAUUCCUAGUGUAGCGGUGGAAUGCGUAGAUAUUAGGAGGAACAUCGGUGGCGAAGGCGACUUACUGGACUGUAACUGACACUGAGGCACGAAAGCGUGGGGAGCAAACA
rnacentral:rRNA from 1 species